GAUGAACGCUGGCGGCGUGCCUAAUACAUGCAAGUCGAGCGAACGGACGAGAAGCUUGCUUCUCUGAUGUUAGCGGCGGACGGGUGAGUAACACGUGGAUAACCUACCUAUAAUACUGGGAUAACUUCGGGAAACCGGAGCUAAUACCGGAUAAUAUUUUCAACCGCAUGGUUCAAAAGUGAAAGACGGUCUUGCUGUCACUUAUAGAUGGAUCCGCGCUGCAUUAGCUAGUUGGUAAGGUAACGGCUUACCAAGGCAACGAUGCAUAGCCGACCUGAGAGGGUGAUCGGCCACACUGGAACUGAGACACGGUCCAGACUCCUACGGGAGGCAGCAGUAGGGAAUCUUCCGCAAUGGGCGAAAGCCUGACGGAGCAACGCCGCGUGAGUGAUGAAGGUCUUCGGAUCGUAAAACUCUGUUAUUAGGGAAGAACAUAUGUGUAAGUAACUGUGCACAUCUUGACGGUACCUAAUCAGAAAGCCACGGCUAACUACGUG
rnacentral:rRNA from 1 species